GCUGGAUAGCUCAGUUGGUUUGAGCAUGGCAUUGAUAAUGCCAAGGUUGCAGGUUCUAUCCCAGUUGCAUACU